AUUGAACGCUGGCGGCAUGCCUUACACAUGCAAGUCGAACGGCAGCACGGGAGCAAUCCUGGUGGCGAGUGGCGAACGGGUGAGUAGUACAUCGGAACGUGCCUAGUAGUGGGGGAUAGCCCGGCGAAAGCCGGAUUAAUACCGCAUACGACCUGAGGGUGAAAGCGGGGGAUCGCAAGACCUCGCGCUAUCAGAGCGGCCGAUGCCAGAUUAGGUAGUUGGUGGGGUAAAAGCCUACCAAGCCGACGAUCUGUAGCUGGUCUGAGAGGACGACCAGCCACACUGGGACUGAGACACGGCCCAGACUCCUACGGGAGGCAGCAGUGGGGAAUUUUGGACAAUGGGCGCAAGCCUGAUCCAGCCAUGCCGCGUGCAGGAAGAAGGCCUUCGGGUUGUAAACUGCUUUUGUCAGGGAAGAAAAGUUCUGGGCUAAUACCCCGGAGCGAUGACGGUACCUGAAGAAUAAGCACCGGCUAACUACGUGCCAGCAGCCGCCGUAAGAC
rnacentral:rRNA from 1 species